rnacentral:rRNA from 1 species
UGGGGAAUAUUGCACAAUGGGGGAAACCCUGAUGCAGCGACGCCGCGUGAGCGAAGAAGUAUUUCGGUAUGUAAAGCUCUAUCAGCAGGGAAGAAAAAAAUGACGGUACCUGAGUAAGAAGCACCGGCUAAAUACGUGCCAGCAGCCGCGGUAAUACGUAUGGUGCAAGCGUUAUCCGGAUUUACUGGGUGUAAAGGGAGCGUAGGCGGCGCGUUAAGUCUGAUGUGAAAACCCGAGGCUCAACCACGGGAGUGCAUUGGAAACUGGCGGGCUGGAGUGCCGGAGAGGUAAGCGGAAUUCCUAGUGUAGCGGUGAAAUGCGUAGAUAUUAGGAGGAACACCAGUGGCGAAGGCGGCUUACUGGACGGCAACUGACGCUGAGGCUCGAAAGCGUGGGGAGCAAACAGG